ACCGUAAGGACUGGUGGAGCGCUUGGAAGUGAGAAUGCCGGUAUGAGUAGCGAAAGACAGGUGAGAAUCCUGUCCACCGAAUGACUAAGGUUUCCUGGGGAAGGCUCGUCCUCCCAGGGUUAGUCGGGACCUAAGUCGAGGCCGAGAGGCGUAGACGAUGGACAACAGGUUGAUAUUCCUGUACCAGUUGAUUGUGCUUGAGUGAUGGAGUGACGCAGAAGGCUAAGCGAUCCGGACGAUUGGAAGUGUCCGGCCAAGCAGCAAGUCAGUUGAUGAGUCAAAUGCUUAUCAGCGGGUUGACAAGCUGUGACGGGGAGCGAAAUUAUAGUAGCGAAGUCGUUGAUGUCACGCUGCCGAGAAAAGCUUCUAGCGAAUAAUCAACUGCCCGUACCGCAAACCGACACAGGUAGUCGAGGAGAGUAUCCUAAGGUGAGCGAGCGAACUCUCGUUAAGGAACUCGGCAAAAUGACCCCGUAACUUCGGGAGAAGGGGUGCUGAUCGCAAGAUCAGCCGCAGUGAAAAGGCC
rnacentral:rRNA from 1 species